rnacentral:rRNA from 1 species
CGGGGCUUAAAGUCUUGUAAUUGGAAUGAUGGGAAUCUAAACCUCUUCCAGAGUAUCAAUUGGAGGGCAAGUCUGGUGCCAGCAGCCGCGGUAAUUCCAGCUCCAAUAGCGUAUAUUAAAAUUGUUGCAGUUAAAAAGCUCGUAGUUGAAUUUCUGCUGCAUUGCUUGUGUCCCUCUGGGGUCUGUGCAUGUGGCUUUUUUCGGACGGAGUUUCUUUGUCUGAAUGUUUACUUUGAGAAAAUUAGAGUGCUCAAAGCAGGCUUUCGCCUUGAAUAGUUUAGCAUGGAAUAAUAAAGUAGGACUUUGGUUCUAUUUUGUUGGUUUUAGGUACCAAAGUAAUGGUUAAUAGGAACAGUUGGGGGCAUUCGUAUUUAACUGUCAGAGGUGAAAUUCUUAGAUUUGUUAAAGACGAACUACUGCGAAAGCAUUUGCCAAGGAUGUUUUCAUUAAUCAAGAAC